rnacentral:rRNA from 1 species
UACGUAGGGGGCGAGCGUUGUCCGGAAUCAUUGGGCGUAAAGCGCGUGUAGGCGGCCCGGUAAGUCCGCUGUGAAAGUCCAGGGCUCAACCCUGGGAUGCCGGUGGAUACUGUCGGGCUAGAGUGCGGAAGAGGCGAGUGGAAUUCCUGGUGUAGCGGUGAAAUGCGCAGAUAUCAGGAGGAACACCUAUUGCGAAGGCAGCUCGCUGGGACGUUACUGACGCUGAGACGCGAAAGCGUGGGGAGCAAACAGG